rnacentral:rRNA from 1 species
GACGAACGCUGGCGGCGUGCCUAAUACAUGCAAGUAGAACGCUGAAGCGAGGAGCUUACUCUUCUUGGAUGAGUUGCGAACGGGUGAGUAACGCGUAGGUAACCUGCCUUGUAGCGGGGGAUAACUAUUGGAAACGAUAGCUAAUACCGCAUAACAAUGGAUGACACAUGUCAUUUAUUUGAAAGGGGCAAUUGCUCCACUACAAGAUGGACCUGCGUUGUAUUAGCUAGUAGGUGAGGUAAUGGCUCACCUAGGCGACGAUACAUAGCCGACCUGAGAGGGUGGUCGGCCACCCCUGGACUGGGACACGGCCCAGACCCCUACGGGAAGCAGCCGUAGGGGAUCUUCGGCAAUGGGGGCAACCCUGACCGAGCAACGCCGCGUGAGGGAAGAAGGGUUUCGGAUCGGAAAGCUCUGUUGUAAGUCAAGAACGGGUGUGAGAGUGGAAAGUUCACACUGUGACGGUAGCUUACCAGAAAGGGACGGCUAACUACGUG